rnacentral:rRNA from 1 species
GGCGAACGCUGGCGGCAGGCCUAACACAUGCAAGUCGAACGGACCCUUCGGGGUUAGUGGCGGACGGGUGAGUAACACGUGGGAACGUGCCUUUAGGUUCGGAAUAGCUCCUGGAAACGGGUGGUAAUGCCGAAUGUGCCCUUCGGGGGAAAGAUUUAUCGCCUUUAGAGCGGCCCGCGUCUGAUUAGCUAGUUGGUGGUGUAACGGACCACCAAGGCGACGAUCAGUAGCUGGUCUGAGAGGAUGAUCAGCCACAUUGGGACUGAGACACGGCCCAAACUCCUACGGGAGGCAGCAGUGGGGAAUCUUGUGCAAUGGGCGAAAGCCUGACGCAGCCAUGCCGCGUGAAUGAUGAAGGUCUUAGGAUUGUAAAAUUCUUUCACUGGGGACGAUAAUGACGGUACCCGGAGAAGAAGCCCCGGCUAACUUCGUGCCAGCCGCCGCAGUAAGAC